rnacentral:lncRNA from 1 species
UUGCUUACCUUAAACAGAAUGCUGUUUUUGUACGUGCAGCUGAUAAACGAGGGAGAGAAGAGGGUUGUGAUAACUGAUAGGAUGUGGGCAAGGUUACUAUCUUCAACCCAUCAGCCUAGCUUCUUGAAUCCAAAAGAUAGCACAGCAGUGAGAGAGGAAAUAACUGAACCAGAAAUAGCAGACUAAACAGGCCGUAUACAGAGCACAAAUGUCACGCCAAGUUAAAAUGCCUUUAAAUUGUGCUGAACAUGUUAAUUAAUGAUCAAAUUGAAUUAGCGCAAGAGCAAAUUAGAUAAUUGAGGUCGGAUAAAACCAAAUGAGUACAUCUUUUGCGGUAUUUAAGCCACAAUGUGUGCAUCUACAUUUACAAAAUUUUGAAUAACAGCUUAGAUAUCAAAAGAAAGUGAGAUCUGCAUAAUGCCUUUGGCAUCAGUUAACUAUUACUUUACUAAAUACGGUGUUAAUAACCUCUUUCAGAUCCUUGCAACCUACAACUUUUAUUCCUUCCAGACCUUCGGUUUCUAGAAGUUUUACAGCUUGCUUUGGUACGACACACAUUCUGUAACCCAACUUCGCCACUGUGUUAACCCUUUUAUCAAUUCUAGGAACCUGUAUCAAUAAAUAAAGAAAUCACCAGGCUAAGACAGAUGGAAUAAACAAGCAAUUUGUUUAAUUUGGCUUAAUGAACAUACGGAGCUUUUCUUAGAAAACACAACAAAAAAGUGUUGUUUCAAAUGGGAAGGAUGUCUUAGAAUUUACUCUAUAGGUAGCAUUGUUUCAAUAAACCUUAAUCAACCGGCAGGAAUCAAGUCCCAUCUAACAAAGGAAUAUUGUAUUAUUAAUGAAACACUCAGAAACAGAAUUGCAAGAGUGAUACUACUAGCUAAGCAAACCGUUUGGCCAAAGCUACAGGCUGAAGACUGAAAGAAACAUCACCGCUGCCAUUGCAAACUCCCCUUUCUAGACAUAUCCGAUCACAAUUGUUUUCUCUUUUUUAAGCAAGCACGAAUUCCUUAAUAAAGACAACCUAGAACUAAGCACACGCGUGUUCUCUCUCCUCUAACUGAAUCUCACUCUGUAGAUGCUUUACACAAGUUGUUCCCUCCUAAUUUACCUUUUUGGGCCAACUAUAGUAAUUAGUAACAAUUUAGGUCCAUAGUCCUAUCACAACCUCAAAUAUACAUACUGAGGACAAAAGGGCAGAAAAAUGCUUGACCUAGCCAUAUCAUGUCAUUGUUCAUCAGAACUAAACCGACCAGUUAAUUCAAAUCUGCAUUCCACAAAAGAGUUCAACAAUACAAUCCUUUCCACCACUUUCCUAACUAUGUAGAAAACUGAAAAUGCCACUUAAUUUAAAACACAUGAAACCUCACAGACAACAGAUCUGAAUUUUCAGAAAAAAAGACUUCCAUAGAUUGAAACGCAAAGCAAAUUUAACAUCUACAAACCCUUCAAUAAGAAGCACAUUGCUACACUAUUGAAAACUCUAAAUUCAUUUUCAAUAUGGUAGUAGUGAGUAGCAACCUUUAACAUUAAAUGUGCUUACUUACCAUGCGAAGCUCUCCACCAAGGCCAAUUUCACCAAUGAACGCAGUCCCCUCUGGAAUAGGGAACUCCAAGAAACUGGAAAAAAAAAAGACAACAAAGAUGAUAAACAGAUUCUACCAGUUUCUAGAAUAUUGUACUGGAAAAAAAGAAAGCAUUCAUGCCAAUAGUGCCAGAACAACAAGAUCGAACAUCAUUUAAAAUAAAUUAGAACACGAACCUGCUGCAAAUUGCAGCUGCUAUUGCAAGAUCUCCAGCAGUCUCUGUCACUUGGAAUCCACCAACAACAUUCAAAAACACAGCCUGUUGAACAAGUGGCAAGAUGAGAAAAUAUAUAUUAGAGAUCUACUAGUUAUAAUUUUUAUUUGUAUUGUAAUUUCAUUUAACAUUCAUCUGUGGCAGUAUUAGUUUCCACGAGGCUUCUUAUAGAAACUGGAUCAGAAAACUCAUACAGAAAGGAAUUCUCAAUUGGAAAAUGAGAAUUAUGUAUAAGUCUUGCAAUUGUACAAAAAGUUUACAAUACAACCACUAGCACUUUGAGGGCCCAGAAACCUCCCACAACAAAGUUAUUUCUCCUUAUCCCCCACACAGACCCAAAAACACAUAUAUGUAUGCAUAACUUCCGCCUACACACAACUAUAUAACUAGUAACAGAUUUCUCAGCUAUACAUAGAGAUAGAAAGACAAGAAAGUCAAAAGGAUAUAACAUAUUUGAAAAUCAGCUUACAUUAUCCUGGAGAUGAAGACCUGCUUGCUUAAUAAGUACCUAUAGUUCACAGAAUAGUGCAAUAAUCAAUACACGACAAAUUUCAUUACGGUAGGCUAUAUUUAUAGAAAGAGAACUAAUAUCACCAUCACGCAUCCCUUUCAUUCAUUUUCUCAUUCAAAUGAAUUACCACAUGGGAAGGUUGUGCAAUAUUGUCAAAGAAUUACCAAGAAGAGUGGCUUACACAUUUAAUAAUAUUAGCUCUGUUUGAAUGGAUCCCAUUGGAUUGUGAACUCGAAACUGGGCUAUAUGUGAGGCAUAGUGCCUGUAGAAUAAAAUUGAAAAUUAUUAGAUACAUUAGAUUAUUAGAUAUCUUGGAUAAGUAUCUUAUCUUUAUUUUUUAUCUUUAGUUACUUUGUUAUUAUUAUUUAUUUAUUUUUUAGACUCAGCUCAUAUUUUCUUUUUUAUUAAUAAAGUACCCUUUGUGUUUUUACUAUAUUCAAUAUAGUAUUAGAGUCAAGUUUAAAGCAUAUCUUAGUGAAAUUUGAUAUUUGUUGGACUAUCGAACCACCUAUUAAUGUCUAGUCUCACAUGAGGAAUAUAUGUUGGAAGUCUCAUAUCAACUAGAGGUAAGACCAAUUCAGAAUAUAUUAGUGAGUGCAAACCUCAUCUUAUAAGCCGAUUUUGUAAGAUUAAAUCAAACAUAAAGUCAACUUCUUCACAAAAAUCAAUACAAUAAUUUUCUAAAAGGAUAUUAGAGCAUAAAUACCACAUAUAAGAAGAAUGCACAAUGAUGAAAAUUAAGGUGUAUUCUUAAUCUCUACCACAUACACAUGAUAACAAGAAUGUGAAGAGCUUUGAGGAUUUGACUCAACAACUUCUUAUGGAAUCUUUGUUGCAGGCAUCAUACUGAGGAUAGUAAGUUUAAGACUUUGGUCUUACAAGAUCUCUCCACUGGAAAAUACUGGCAUAACAUAAAAUUUAAGGCCCUAAGUGUAAAAACAAAAUAAUAUAUUUCUGUCUUGGAAACAUAUAUUUCUAUUAACAACCAAAUAAAGCAUUAACUAGAAUGUGAAUCUUAUAAGACUCUUAUUCUGGAAUAGAAGUUGUAAAAAGGUCUUAAAAGUGAUGUGGCAUGAUGGAACCCACAAAAAAUAAAUUAAGAUCUCAUAAAAUUACCCUUUCAGUCGAGAUGAAAAUUGAGGUGUAUUCUUAAUCUCUAUCAGAGACACACGAUAACAUUAAUGUGACGAGCUUUGAGGAUUUGACACAACUUAUCGAAUUUUGGUUGCAGGCAUGAUACUCAGGAUCGUUAAGUUUAAGACUUUGGUCUUACAAGAUCUCUGCAUUGUAAUAUACUGACAUAACAUAAAAUUUAAGACCCUGAGUCGUAAAAAUAAAAUAAUAUAUUUGUCUUUGAAACAUAUAUUUCUAUCGACAACCAAAUAAAGCAUUAAUUAGAAUGUGAAUCUUAUAAGACUCCUAUGAUGGAAUAGAAGUUGUAAAAAAGUCUUAAAAGUGAUGUGGCAUGAUGGAAGCCACAAACAAUAAAUUAAGAUCCCACAAAAAUGACCCUUUGCAGUCGAGAUGGCCUGACAAAAAUUCUCUAGAUGAUAAAUAAGGAUCAUUUCUUCACAACGUAUCAUUUCUUCUCAAGAUAUAGGAUAUAGAAGAAAAUACACAAUGGACUUGGAUUCUUAGAUUCAACGGAAAAUUACCUGAAUUUCAACUAAAAAUGUUCUUGUACCAUCCAUUAAUACAGCAAUAGCAAGUCCGGCUAAAACAUUUGAAUCAGAAUGCUGUUGAGUGAGAAACAUUUCACUGGCAUUUGAAACAACCUGGAGUCCUGAUUGUGACAUCUCAAGAACAGCAAGCUGAUCAUAUAAACCAACACAAGAUAGAACAUCAAUUUUCUCAGGUCGUUCUAAUCAUUGAAGGUAAUAUAAGAUAGAUGACCAAAUGCCAUUAUGAAAUUGACAUGAUAACACACAGAAGAGCUUCUAAAUUUAGCUAGACUAAGCAAUGAUAAAAUGUCAACACAUUAUGAUAAUAUAUAGUCUCAGUCCUUCACCCAGCAGUUCAUACGCAUGCCUCGGUACUCCAAUAAUUUAAACUUGCAGUCAGAUAUAUCAGAUAAGGUACUCAUUCUCAAAAUUAAGCAUCACAGAAAAAUACUAAUGACAGAAAUAGAACAGAAGAAAAAAGCAAGAAAUCAAUGCUAGUAGUACACUGUUAAUGAUAUUCAUAUAUUAAAAGUACUGAUAACAUGGUUCUUCAAAAGUAUUAGUAGAAACAAAAUAGUUACAAUCAACGAAGACAUCUUAAAUAUAAUAGGAAAUGGUCAUAGCAUACCUCAUCAGUGGAACCAAAGCGAUUUUUCACAGCUCGCAGCAUUCGAUAUGGAGAGUGCUUCUCACCCUAAGCAUUAAUUUGAAAAAUUAGCAUGGAGAAAAUUGAAAUGAAACCUGGUGAUUCAAUUAAAAUGUUAAAAUGCAAUACGCAGAAAAAAACUGUUAAAAAAAUUACACAAUCAGUUAAAAUGUAAUAUUGUAAAAAUAAAUGACAAUGAUUCAGGAAAAGGGGAAUAAGAAGAAUUGUGUGCUGUGACCAUAAUUAAUUUCAGAAAGAAAUAAAAAAUUUAUUGACAAUGUAAAUAUUGUUCCACUGUACAUUAUUCUCUUUUUAACUCAUUUUUACAAAUUAACCAGUUUCAGUGAAAUAAAUCAAAUAACAUAAUUUCAGAUUGUGAGAGUGUAUUGAGAUCCUACAUUGACUAAAAAUAUGCCUAGUGUAGAAUUAUAUGAUAGUAUUAAAGCCUAUCCUAAAUCUAUUAUUAGACCACCUAAAUCCAUUAUUGGGACACCCAUAUUUCUCAACAUUCUAGACAAAUCCUAGGUGUGAACGGUUGUUAUUGGGCCACCCAUAUUUAUCCACACUCCAAAUGUCUGGUCUUGAGCAUGAAUGAUCACAUGAUGCCAGCAAGAGACUGUUCGCAAACCCUUUCAAGAAAAUUGUUUUGAUUUAGCAGAAUGCAAAACUCGAAAUACAUACCCUCCGAAAAAUGUUCAUAUUUUGCCCUGCCAGGAUAUAGUGCUUUACAGACAAGACACUACAGUAAUGUUCCAAAAAAAUAGAUAAUGAAGCCCAAAAAUAGAAACCAUAAUGAUGGGCAGCUCUACCAAGUAACAACUAUCCAAAAAAAGAAUGGUGUAAUGAGGUACCAACUUCCAUAUACAAAACAACAUCAACUAUAUGCUCCAAGACUCGAGGUCCUGCUAUCUCUCCAGAUUUGGUCACAUGUCCAAUCUGAAAAACAAAGCAAAAGAGAAAAGUAAAUUUUUUUAUCACAAAUGCUAACACUUCAAAGGCCACAAUAAGAGACAUGCACAAAGAUAAAUUACAAAUUAAAUCCACACAAGCAACAUCAAUCAUAAUACCUGCCAUUUCAGCACAAUCAUGUGACUUUUACCUUGAUGGGAUCACAAACUGUAAAAAAUUUCCAGUUUUACUAUAACGACGACAUAUGUCAAUUGCAGACUUGGCUGAAUAAGGGGAUUACACUGUUGAAAAGUAUCUCCUAUUACCGGAAAGUAUCUUCUGUUUGAGGGGUGUACUAAUCUGAUUUGUUUUUAUUUUAUUUUCUACUUAAUUUCCUCUAUUAAGUAAUUAAUGUACUCGUUUCUAAGUCAUUAAUAAUGUAGGGAACAAUAGUGCUGGAAACGGCUUAAAGUAAUCAAGGUCUAAGAAAACCAAAUAGGCGGAUUCAUGUAUAGUAGCUUACCACUAUCCUACGAAGUUUGAUUUUCUAUUUAUUGUUACUAACUCCGAUGUAAAUUAUUUUAUAUAACGAAUGCUACUUAGUACAUCAAACAAUCAAACAAUUCACCAAAUACGAUGCAAAAAAAGAUAGUGCAUUAAUAUAUCAAUUUUCCAUUUAUAUAUAAUUCACAAAAUUUGAUAGACGUGCUCACCAAAAUAACUGAGAUGUUAGUUGUUUUAGCAAAUCGCAUCAAAGCUGCCGUACAUUCCUUCACCUGUUACACACCAAGAAAAAGUCACAUCUGAUGUACCACAGAACCAGGAUACCAUGCAUCCCAAUGACCAAAAAACCAAUUAAAAAAAUUAAACGGAAUUAAUCAAUCAUGAGUUUGACCUUUAAAAAAAAUCCUUUAUUUGACAAUGAUUAAAUACUAUGAAGAGAGAUUUGGUAUGGACAAAAGUUAAUUAAAUACCAAAGACACGUUCCAAACAACACAUUUUAAUAGAAUAUAAAAGAGCAGUAGGAAGAAACUAUUUUGUCCACAUACUCUCCUAUUAGUUACAAUUUAUUAGAACUCAAAAAUUAUGGGUCCCACGUCUUAUUUAAUUAUACUCCCUCCUGAUUUUGUAGUUGUCAAUAAUUUCUAAACAAUAAGCGGGUGUGCUUUCCUAACACUGCUCUAGAAUAUAAAUGGAUGUGCAUAGUGCAACAUAAAAGAAUUCUAUGAAUCAGAGUUUCAGAAAAACUGAUAAUCCGACACUAAUUCUUUUGGAUGUAUAGAUCAUAAAAGUGGAUUCUGCCCCUCCCAAUAAAGUCAUCUCCACAGACAAGGUUAGGAAUUGAAUCCUUGACAUGUCUUACGAACCCAGCUAUUUACCAACUUACCAAAUGUGCUGAACUUUGUUGGUUGAUAGCUUAAAAAUUGAUAUUGAAGUUGUUAUUCUCUAAAACAGAGAUCAGUAUGGGUCCAGUGAAUGUUAAACAGAUAUAACUGGCAUUAGCUAACCCUGCUGAGCCGGAAACAGCAGACAGCUAAUAAAACUACAACCUCCUGUACACAUAAGAGAAAUAAACAACAAACCUAAAUGCACUCCGCCUAACAUAGUUAAAACAUCCAACAAAAAUGUAAAGUCUCUUGAAGGUAGUUAAGUUUGCUAUAUUCAUAACCUGCGUAAUCCCUCCAGCACUUCCUAUUACUGUAUUCAGGUAAACAGUUUGUAUUGAAUCAACCACCAGAGCACAAGGGGAUAGAGCAUGAGUUUUCCUCAAUAUGUCCUACCACCAAAAAGCAAAAGUAAAGCAUAGUUAUCAAUCGUAGAUAGUAAUAGCAGUCAAAGCCAAAAGACAAAAACAGUAGUGCUAUAGUACACAGUGGAAUGCCUCUUUAUAUGUACAUAGAUUAAAUAAUUUAGUAAUUUAAAUCAUAUACAUAUAAAUGCUAAAAAAGUGCUCAAAGUUCACAACAUACUCUUAAUUAACAAUCGGAGGUCACAGGUUUUAAGCACAAACAUACAAGGAAAUAACAAUAAAAGUAAAUUUAAAACAUUCAAUAAAAAGUGAUUGAUUGUUGCUCACGGAAAACAGUAGAGGAUGAGGGUUCAAAGUUUAAAACAGAGGUGAUUCAGAAUAGCAGAGAAAUAAUGGAGAAUAGGUAAUACUAGAAGUUGCAGUAAUCACCAGAAAUACUGCAUGACGAGGGUGCUCGUUGGUCCAAGUCAAACAGUGUUAGGAAAGGGAGUGCGAAACUACUUACAAUUACGGAUUUUUUAACAUUCUAAAAGGAGGGGGAAUAAUUUUUUUAACAUUCUAAAAGGAGGGGGAAUAAUUUUGCCCCCGUCCCCCCUUUUGAGGGCAAAAAAAAAGGUUUCCGAUCACUCUAGUCUCACUGGAGCUACAGCUACUAUUAAAAAAUGCACUGGUAUUAAAACUUUGCAGCAGCCUAUGGCUAUUCUGGACAGAAGAAGUGCAUUAUCGAUAACUAUGAAGUCAAACAAAAAAAGAGGACUGUUAUUGAGGCUUCAUUACACACUGUACUACUAUGUAUGGCCAAUUAAGAAUAACAUCUUCCAUGAAACAGACUCCGUGACAGUGUUGGAACAUCAAAACUCAUGUAUGAAUAAAAUACUGGAAGAAAAACUGAUCAGCAGAAAAAUUCAAGAUAAUGUACCUCAAUAUCAGUACUUGAAUAUAAAUAAAUAUUGGACUUAAUCCCAAGGCGAUCGGCUCUAGCACAAAUUUGCUUAAGGCUCUGUCACAUAACAGAGAACAAAUGCUUAUUAAAUUAUAAAAGUGUCAGGGACCUAAAGAAAAUCAAAAGUUGAACUAUCCAUCUUCAACAGCAGUGCAAUCAGGGCCAACCAUCUAAAAUUAAAAAAGAAAAGAUUAUAGGCCAAGAGUUAAAUGUCAGCAGUAUUAAAACAUGACAUGACAAUAAUUUUCUGUAGAUUAAUUUCUUAUCAAUAUCCAAUAUUUUAAAUUUUCAACAUCUUUACGUGGCAUCUUCUUUUAUAAGUCUUGAACAAGUUUUUGAUACAAGUGUAAGAAUAUAAGUACAUAUUUUAUUUUAAGGAAUUCUCCUUAGGUCGUGUUCAGAACCCUCAAUCUAAACAAUCAAUACAAAGAAGAAAGAUAAGAACAGUAUUUGUGUUUUAAACUAGUUCUAUGUUAUACAGAAGUUAUCACAGAUAUGUGCAAAUGUUCUGACAAUAUACAAUAAAUAUAAACCAUUUGUCCUGUAAAUUUGGUAUAAAAGAGAUUGGACAACUUAUCUGAGUUCUGGAGUUAUGUGUCUGUAAAACUAAAACGUGUUUAUAAAAACUCCAAUUAAAUUUAAAAUACACAUAUUUUAUAAGCUUAUUGAUAAAUAUAGAAAUAGUCCAUGUCAGUCCCUGUAAAUAUAGAAAAUGUUGGCUUUAGUUCUUUAAAAAAUGAUUGUCUUGUUUUAGUCCCUCUUUUUUUCUUAGUUGUGUCAGGUGCGGACAUUGUCCUUCACAAAACAAAAAAACAUCUACUUAUGGUUAUGGAAAUAGAGACUACACUGACACAUUUCCACAAAUGAAAAGAGCAUAUUUAGAAAGAUUAAAAUCAUAUUUAACACUAAAACUGUUAACAGGUUCAAUGAAAGCAAACCUCUUCACCAGACACAUAUACAACUGGAGGUGUUUCAUCAUCACUGCACGUAUUUGCUAUCAUUGCUGAAAUCUUCCAAAUCAACAUCACAAAUAAACCAGGCAUUAAUGACAGUUGACGAGAUUGUUACAGAAAGUUGAUUCAUGAGACUUUAUAUCCAAAUUUAUCUGUACCUGUAACAACAGAGUACUUUUCCCGAUACCAGGAUCACCACCUACUAAAGUUAAAGAACCUUCCAAACCAUUGUUAAAGAUAAAGUUAGCCCUGGAAUACCAAAUUUACUUCUUGCAGGACCAUCACGAAAACUUGAAUUGAGAAAGGUAUUAUUAUCAGACAAUCAACUUGAGGAAGCAUUCGUUCGAAAAUCCAAUUAAGAUUUUAGAGGAAGAAAGCAAAAAAUAAUGUGUACACGCCAUGUGAAGAAAUGUACGAAUAUCUUCGAACAGGCAAAUCCAUCAUAUCCAAACAAACAUUAGAAGAAAAAUUGGAUAGAACCUGGUACAAGACCUCCACCAAGCACUGUAGAAACUUCAUUUCCGAGGGAACCAGACCUGAAAUUGAUGCGAACUGCACAGUAUAAAUUUUGAGAAAAGCAAGGUUUGGAAUCCAACUUCUAAUCUUUAUAGAUAGGGGGUUCAAUCUCUUCCUUAAGUUGCUUUAAUUCCCGUCUUCAUUUUAUCUCUCUCUUCCCUCCUGUGAAGCCCCUAUAGACGUAAAGGUUCCGAAGGCUCUAAGUAAGUGAAUAUCUCCUUCCCGCCCACCUUAAAGUUCAAGAGUCGUAAGUCAGGAGAUCUUUCCUAGAGGUAAGUUAAGGAUUCCUUCUGGCCUUCUGCUCUGGUAGCUAAGUCACUCUAUUCUUUCCUUUAGUAGGAAUAGACAAGUCUCACUCUUGCCCUUAAUAGGAAUCCAAACACGGCACAUCUUUUGUAAAAGUCUAGAAGGGCAAAUUCCUCCUCACACACACAUCAAGGCAUGGUAAAAAAUUGUCCUACUAAUUAACUCCUUUAUGAAGAUGAAAAACAUUCAUAGAAACAGUACAUUGUUAUAUGCUCCCAAACCCUCACAUUACUUUUUUUCUACCUUUCUCCAAACAGUCCCGCUACACCAAAAAACCUUAAAGUAACCCUCUGUUACUUGAGAGCUAUGAUGCACGGAUACAAUUCAUGCACCGGAUGCAACUCGUAUCGGAUGCGACAUAUGCCAGGACAUUUGUGUUGAAAAUAAUAGGAUACUAUAUUUGAUAUGUGCUUAUUGAAAAAUGUACAAUCUUAAAAACAUGAUAAAUAUGUAAUUGUUAUUAUGUGAAUCCAAGUAUUGUUAUAUGUUGUCAAAAAUAACAAAUUAUAAGUUAUUGUCAUCAUAAAAAAACUGAUAUAUAGAUUAGAUGUAUAGAUAAGAUCCAAAAAUAUUAGACACGUUGGAGAUGGACAAGUGACUCAAAUCGAAGUACAUAGAGGAAAUCAUCCUCAUCAAUCAGCACAUGAUCCAAAACAAGCUGAGUCCAAAUACACAAACUUUAAAUUUUGAAGAAAAAGAAAAGAACUUACAAAGGAAUUCUCCAUUUCUCGUGAUUGAAUCCACGGUUCACCUCUUCCAAUUUGACGAGGCGCAGCUCUUCAGGUCGUCGUGGGAGCCACGAGCGCACUGCGUCGUCGGUAAUGGCUAACCCCCCUCUGGAUUUGUCAGUUAAUUUGCUCUCGUGAAACUCUUGCAUUGUGCCAGUUACAUCGCACUCGGGGCAUGUCCCCCACCAUCUCCCCGUCGUGUGCCCACAAUCAGAGCACACCCACUGAGCUUUCACCUUCCCCUUUUUCUUCACCACCGCUGCAUCAUUUCCCCUCAAACCGCUAGGGUUUUCAUCUCCAUCGCUGUGAUCGCUUGGCUGCACAACUGGGUGGGCGUAGAUGUUCCCAUACCUGCUCCAACCGGUGGUAGUGGUUUCAUUAGUUGGUUUGUGUGUGAGGUCAGCAUCGGAAGAAUCCGCCGUUGCAGAGUAGUGGGAAAGGAGAGGUCGGAAAAUGCAUUUGGAGUAGUGAAGGUGAAGCUUGUGUGCGAUGAGGAUGGUUCUAAGGAGCCUGGUCAUGCUAUUCGAGCUAGAACAAAAUGCCUCAGCUGCAUAAACCCUUAUUUGCCUUCAGGGGUUAAUGCUAGGCGGGAACACUGGAGAAUUGCCUCCAAAUUACCAGGAAGAGAUUACUAGGAUGUCUACACAUUAGAUAAUACAAAAAUGUCGAAUUAAUGUAUUUUUAAGGAGAGUGUUAAAAAAAAUUCAUAAAAGUAUUUUAAAUUACCAAGUAUAAGUGGUUUUUUUAUUGUAAAAUGUUAAUUGUUGUUAAUAGGACGAGUUGAAUCCAAAAAUUUUCUAACUUUUUUUCCUAAACUCUUUAAAUUAAUUUUUUCUUUUUUUAAUUUUAUUAAAAAAAUUGAAUCACAGUCUUUUCACAUUCCCUUCUAACUUUUUACUUCUAAAUUAAUUUUAUAUUCAUCAGUUUUUUUCCAGUAAAUUAGUUUUACUUUUUUUAGCUUACAAAUAUCUAGGUUAGUUUUAGCUUCCUACCUCCCAAAUAUUUAGGCUAAUGUAUAAGUUAAUGAUUACAAAUAAACUUGUUAGUUUAGUUACCCAUAACUCAAAUAAUUAAACAGGAGAUUAGAAAUAUAAUUUAAAUAUUUAUUUAAAAUAAAAAAUGCUUUUUUAUUUGACUUUAUUAUCAAAGUUUUAAAAACCUUUAAAUACACGCCACUAAUAAGCAUUCAAUGUCUGUUUUUAAUAACUUAAGCCUGGAAUGACCAUCUAUAAUUUAAUUUCUUUUUUAUUUUUAACACCGAAUUAUAGUCAUUUUUAAGUUUUUCCUCAAUUGUAAAUUUUUAUAUUUGUUUCUUGUAUAUGUUAAUUUUAUCAUUUGAAUUGUUUUUACAUGUUUGUUUUGUAAACAUAUGAGAUGUUUGAUUAUCACUUAUGUAUAAACUCGGAUUUUAAGUCUCCACAUGAUUUUCAUGUUGUUAAAAAUUUCAAAAACAUUAUAUUUUAAAAAUAAAACAUAGCAUUUUACAUUGUUGACAAAAUCAAAUUAGAAUGUAUUGUUUUAUAUCCAUUGUUAAGUCAAACAAUAUCUUGGUUCUGAGUAACAAUGGAUACAGAAUAUCACAUUCUACAUUAUCGAUGAAUUUUUUCUGUAUUUUCUAUUAAAGACAUCUAUAAUGAUGCAACUAUCCGCAUAUAAAAUGCUUAGAAUAACUAAUGUAAAAAAUCACGUUGCACUAAUGAUAACUACGACCGUAAAAAGUGGCUCGUAUAGUCCUCAACAACAUGAAUUAUGUACAUGAAUUAAAUAACAAAGACGAUAAAAAAAAGAUGACAUGUUAACAGUAUUCAACAAUGUAGAUGUUACACGAAGAAAAAAUUACAUUAAACCCAAUUUAUAGUUUGUGGUUGUUUGUAAUUAAAUAUUUAGAUGAUUUAGGUUUUAUAUUUAGAUUUUUUUUUUUCGUAAUAAGGAUACAACUUUUGUGCAAAUUUACUAAAAUAAAAGAUUUUUUUUAAGAAAAAUAUGAAUAUUGAUAAGUGUAUUAUGAAACAUGAAUUACUAGCAGAAAUUGUUUAAUUCCAUUUCAUAAAAGUUCUUGCGACUCUAACCAAAUCUAUUUGCUACUGUGCCAAUUGCUAGGUUCCUUUCAUACGUGCCGCAAGGAAUGAGUCUAAAUAUUGUGAACACCUUUUUUUUCUUUUCUAUUUUUUUGUAAAUAUGCUAUUUUUUCCCUAUAUCACUUGCUUACCUUAAUCAGAAUGCUGUUUUUGUACGUGCAGCUGAUAAACGAGGGAGAGAAGAGGGUUGUGAUAACUGAUAACUGAACCAGAAAUAGCAGACUAAACAGGCCAUAUACAGAGCACAAAUAUCACGCCAAGUUAAAAUGCCUUUAAAUUGUGCUAACCAUUUUAAUUAAUGAUCAAAUUGAAUUAGCGUAAGAUCAAAUUAGAUAAUUGAGGUCGGAUAAAACCAGAUCAGUACAUCUUUUGCGGUAUUUAAGCCACAAUGUGUGGAUCUACAUUUACAAAAUUUUGAAUUACAGCUUAGAUAUCAAAAGAACGUGAGAUCU